AUCGGUCCUCCCUUUGGCUCUCCCCGGCGGCUCUUGGGCCCCGCUUGCACCCGGCAACGGGGUAGGGAGGUCGUUCCUCAUCUCCGACCGAGUGGACAGCCGCGUCCUGCUCGGGUGGACAGCCCUCCCCUCCCCCACGCCAGUUUCGGGGCCGCCAAGUUGUGUAGCCCGUGGGCUGCACCGAACGGACACAGCCCAGCCUUGAAAAGAUCUUUUGAGGUCGAGGAGGUCGAGACACCCAACUCCACCCCACCCCGGAGGGUCCAGACUCCCCUACUCCGAGCCACUGUGGCCAGCUCCACCCAGAAAUUCCAGGACCUGGGCGUGAAGAACUCAGAGCCGUCGGCCCGCCACGUGGACUCCCUAAGCCAGCGCUCCCCCAAGGCGUCCCUGCGGAGGGUGGAGCUCUCGGGCCCCAAGGCGGCUGAGCCGGUGUCCCGGCGCACUGAGCUGUCCAUUGACAUCUCGUCCAAGCAGGUGGAGAACGCCGGGGCCAUCGGGCCGUCCCGGUUCGGGCUCAAGAGGGCUGAGGUG
rnacentral:sRNA from 1 species